GACGAACGCUGGCGGCGUGCCUAAUACAUGCAAGUCGAACGCAGUGGGGACGGGUGGGUUACACGUGGGUACCCUUCCCAUCAGAGGGGAAAACACUUGGUAACAGGUGCUAAACCGAUACUGAUGGAUGGACCCGCGGUGAAUUAGCUAGUUGGUGAGGUAACGGCUCACCAAGGCCACGAGGCAUAGCCGACCUGGGAGGGUGAUCGGCCAAACUGGGACUGGGACACGGCCCAGACUCCAGCGGGAGGCAGCAGUAGGGAAUCUUCGGCAAUGGACGAAAGUCUGACCGAACAAGGCCGCGUGAGUGAAGAAGGUUUGCGGAUCGUAAAACUCUGUUGUUAGAGAAGCGGUAUCUAACCAGAAAGCCACGGCUAACUACGUGCCAGCAGCCGCGGUAAUUC
rnacentral:rRNA from 1 species